GACGAACGCUGGCGGCGUGCCUAAUACAUGCAAGUAGAACGCACAGGAUGCACCGUAGUUUACUACACCGUAUUCUGUGAGUUGCGAACGGGUGAGUAACGCGUAGGUAACCUGCCUGGUAGCGGGGGAUAACUAUUGGAAACGAUAGCUAAUACCGCAUAAGAACAUUUACUGCAUGGUAGAUGUUUAAAAGGUGCAAAUGCAUCACUACCAGAUGGACCUGCGUUGUAUUAGCUAGUUGGUGAGGUAACGGCUCACCAAGGCAACGAUACAUAGCCGACCUGAGAGGGUGAUCGGCCACACUGGGACUGAGACACGGCCCAGACUCCUACGGGAGGCAGCAGUAGGGAAUCUUCGGCAAUGGGGGGAACCCUGACCGAGCAACGCCGCGUGAGUGAAGAAGGUUUUCGGAUCGUAAAGCUCUGUUGUUAAGGAAGAACGUGUGUGAGAGUGGAAAGUUCACACAGUGACGGUACUUAACCAGAAAGGGACGGCUAACUACGUGCCAGCAGCCGCGGUAAUACGUAGGUCCCGAGCGUUGUCCGGAUUUAUUGGGCGUAAAGCGAGCGCGGGCGGUUAGAUAAGUCUGAAGUGAAAGGCAGUGGCUCAACCAUUGUAGGCUUUGGAAACUGUUUAACUUGAGUGCAGAAGGGGAGAGUGGAAUUCCAUGUGUAGCGGUGAAAUGCGUAGAUAUAUGGAGGAACACCGGUGGCGAAAGCGGCUCUCUGGUCUGUAACUGACGCUGAGGCUCGAAAGCGUGGGGAGCGAACAGG
rnacentral:rRNA from 1 species